GACGAACGCUGGCGGCGUGCUUAACACAUGCAAGUCGAACGGAAAGGCCCUGCUUUUGUGGGGUGCUCGAGUGGCGAACGGGUGAGUAACACGUGAGUAACCUGCCCUUGACUUUGGGAUAACUUCAGGAAACUGGGGCUAAUACCGGAUAGGAGCUCCUGCUGCAUGGUGGGGGUUGGAAAGUUUCGGCGGUUGGGGAUGGACUCGCGGCUUAUCAGCUUGUUGGUGGGGUAGUGGCUUACCAAGGCUUUGACGGGUAGCCGGCCUGAGAGGGUGACCGGCCACAUUGGGACUGAGAUACGGCCCAGACUCCUACGGGAGGCAGCAGUGGGGAAUAUUGCACAAUGGGCGGAAGCCGGAUGCAGCAACGCCGCGUGCGGGAUGACGGCCUUCGGGUUGUAAACCGCUUUCGCCUGUGACGAAGCGUGAGUGACGGUAAUGGGUAAAGAAGCACCGGCUAACUACGUG
rnacentral:rRNA from 1 species